rnacentral:lncRNA from 10 species
UAAUUUUUUCCCCCAUACAUUUUGUGGAACAAAUAUAUGCAUUUCUUUUGGGUUUAUAUGAAGAGUAGAACUGAUUAGUCAUAAGAUGUGUACAUACUCAGUUUUAGUAGAUAUUGCCAAACUGUUCUCCAAAGUAGUUAUGUCAGUUCCUCCAGUAGUGUGAAAGAAUUCUAGUUGCUCCACACACCUUGUAUCUGGGUUUUCAUUUUAGCCAUUCAGGCAAAUAUGUAGUGCUAUCCUGUUGGAUUUUAAUUUGUUUCCCUGAUGAAUAAUCAGAUUGAGCACCUUCCCUUGAUAAUGUUAGUAGAUAGAGUUGGAGAGUGACUACCUUAAUCCAGUAAGGAACCUGGGCCUAGUAGAGAGUAGGUUGGGCAGUUUUGGCAAGGCUUUGUCUAUCUCUAAUUUAACCCUGUACCUGGGGUAUAACCCUCCAGAAAUUUCAGCCAAUAGCCUGAUAUGUCUGUUGGGUUUUCUACCCUUAAUAUUUUCUCCAUAGCACUAUGAGACUACUGAAAAUUCUACUCUGCUUAUACCUCCCAGAAGAGGAAAACUUAAUGGCCAGGAAAUAUUAAGAGGUUAAGAUAAGUACUUGACCUCACUAGUAUUAAUGUUGCCUCAUUAGGGCAAUAUUAAGUACUAUAUUGAAAUACCACUUUCCAUGCCUCAGACUGGCAUCAAUUAAAAUGUCUUAGAAUAUCAACAGUUGUCUCAACAAAUUGAGAAAUGAUUGUACUGCCUGCCAUAACUUCCUUUCAAGACUGUAAAUUGGUACUUCUUUGGGAGAUCAUUUUAGCAAAAUAUUUUAAGCAUGCAUUCCAGCAAUUCCACUUCUAGACAAUACCUUAGAAUAGCUGGUUUCACUUUUAACUGCAUAUUUUAAAAGCCAUGAAGUUUAAAGGCAACAAAAAACCAAGGCCUUCCUGAGACAGUUGCUCUGGGAUUGAGCCUAAGAAUUUUUUUAAAGUUCUACUUUUUUUAUUGUGCAGCCAGCAUUGAAAAAGCUACUGUCCAAGAAAAACACAUACAAUGCACAGAAGAUAAUGUAGAAAAAUGUUGAAGAGCGAUACAAUAAUUGCAAGUAGCCUAAAUCCCUCAAUAGGCAUGAAGAAUGGAUGAAUAAGUGAUGUUUUUGAUCAGUGUAGUACUUUACAAUGGCAAAAAUAACUACUUCUAGGAAUAUCAAAUCAGCAUGGAUAAAUGUUGUAAACAUAGAGUUGAGUGAAAUAUAGCAAGUUUCAAAAGAAUACGCAUCGUACAACACUAUUUGUAGAGUUAAAACCAUGCUAAGCAAUGCUACAUAUUUGUGGAUACAUACAUAUGUAGUGCAAGUAAAGGAAUUCCUGGGAAUGGUGAAUUCUAAAUUCAGGGUAAUGGUUACAGUUAGGAGAGGAAAGGGAAUACAAUCAGAUUAUGGUAGUAAA